rnacentral:rRNA from 1 species
AAGACCGAGUGGCAAACGGGUGAGUAACGCGUAAACAACCUGCCCUCAGGAUGGGGACAACAGCUGGAAACGGCUGCUAAUNCCGAAUACGAUCAAACGGCCGCAUGGCCGGAUGAUGAAAGGAUGGCCUCUAUAUAUAAGCUAUCGCCGGAGGAGGGGUUUGCGUCUGAUUAGCUAGUUGGAGGGGUAACGGCCCACCAAGGCGACGAUCAGUAGCCGGUCUGAGAGGACGAACGGCCACAUUGGAACUGAGACACGGUCCAGACUCCUACGGGAGGCAGCAGUGGGGAAUCUUCCGCAAUGGGCGAAAGCCUGACGGAGCAACGCCGCGUGAGUGAAGACGGCCUUCGGGUUGUAAAGCUCUGUUAUAUGGGACGAACGUAUUUAUGGCCAAUACCAUAGAUAGUGACGGUACCGUAAGAGAAAGCCACGGCUAACUACGUGCCAGCAGCCGCGGUAAUACGUAGGUGGCAAGCGUUGUCCGGAAUUAUUGGGCGUAAAGGGCGCGCAGGCGGCCUGUCAAGUCUGUCUUAAAAGUGCGGGGCUCAACCCCGUGAUGGGACGGAAACUGGCAGGCUGGAGUGUCGGAGAGGAAAGCAGAAUUCCUAGUGUAGCGGUGAAAUGCGUAGAUAUUAGGAGGAAUACCAGUGGCGAAAGCGGCUUUCUGGACGACAACUGACGCUGAGGCGCGAAAGCCAGGGGAGCAAACGGGAUUAGAUACCCUGGUAGUCCUGGCCGUAAACGAUGGGUACUAGGUGUAGGAGGUAUCGACCCCUUCUGUGCCGGAGUUAACGCAAUAAGUAUCCCGCCUGGGGAGUACGGCCGCAAGGCUGAAACUCAAAGGAAUUGACGGGGGCCCGCACAAGCGGUGGAGUAUGUGGUUUAAUUCGACGCAACGCGAAGAACCUUACCAAGCCUUGACAUUGAUUGAACGAGGCAGAGAUGCCUUUUUCCUCUUCGGAGGACAAGAAAACAGGUGGUGCACGGCUGUCGCCAGCUCGUGUCGUGAGAUGUUGGGUUAAGUCCCGCAACGAGCGCAACCCCUAUCUUCUGUUACCAGCACGUAAGG